UACGAAGGGGGCUAGCGUGGUUCGGAAUUACUGGGCGUAAAGCGCACGUAGGCGGAUACUUAAGUCAGGGGUGAAAUCCCGGGGCUCAACCCCGGAACUGCCUUUGAUACUGGGUAUCUCGAGUCCGGAAGGGGUGAGUGGAAUUCCGAGUGUAGAGGUGAAAUUCGUAGAUAUUCGGAGGAACACCAGUGGCGAAGGCGGCUCACUGGUCCGGUACUGACGCUGAGACGCGAAAGCGUGGGGAGCAAACAGG
rnacentral:rRNA from 1 species